rnacentral:rRNA from 1 species
GGAGGGAAACCGAGUCUUAAUUGGGCGUUAAGUUGCAGGGUAUAGACCCGAAACCCGGUGAUCUAGCCAUGGGCAGGUUGAAGGUUGGGUAACACUAACUGGAGGACCGAACCGACUAAUGUUGAAAAAUUAGCGGAUGACCUGUGGCUGGGGGUGAAAGGCCAAUCAAACCGGGAGAUAGCUGGUUCUCCCCGAAAGCUAUUUAGGUAGCGCCUCGUGAAUUCAUCUCCGGGGGUAGAGCACUGUUUCGGCUAGGGGGCCAUCCCGGCUUACCAACCCGAUGCAAACUGCGAAUACCGGAGAAUGUUAUCACGGGAGACACACGGCGGGUGCUAACGUCCGUCGUGAAGAGGGAAACAACCCAGACCGCCAGCUAAGGUCCCAAAGUCAUGGUUAAGUGGGAAACGAUGUGGGAAGGCCCAGACAGCCAGGAUGUUGGCUUAGAAGCAGCCAUCAUUUAAAGAAAGCGUAAUAGCUCACUGGUCGAGUCGGCCUGCGCGGAAGAUGUAACGGGGCUAAACCAUGCACCGAAGCUGCGGCAGCGACGCUGAUGCGUUGUUGGGUAGGGGAGCGUUCUGUAAGCCUGCGAAGGUGGCCUGUGAGGGUUGCUGGAGGUAUCAGAAGUGCGAAUGCUGACAUAAGUAACGAUAAAGCGGGUGAAAAGCCCGCUCGCCGGAAGACCAAGGGUUCCUGUCCAACGUUAAUCGGGGCAGGGUGAGUCGACCCCUAAGGCGAGGCCGAAAGGCGUAGUCGAUGGGAAACGGGUUAAUAUUCCCGUACUUGGUGUUACUGCGAAGGGGGGACGGAGAAGGCUAUGUUGGCCGGGCGACGGUUGUCCCGGUUUAAGCGUGUAGGUGUGUGUUCCAGGUAAAUCCGGUUCACUUUAACACUGAGGCGUGAUGACGAGGCACUACGGUGCUGAAGCAACAAAUGCCCUGCUUCCAGGAAAAGCCUCUAAGCAUCAGGUAACAUCAAAUCGUACCCCAAACCGACACAGGUGGUCAGGUAGAGAAUACCAAGGCGCUUGAGAGAACUCGGGUGAAGGAACUAGGCAAAAUGGUGCCGUAACUUCGGGAGAAGGCACGCUGACACGUAGGUGAAGUGAUUUACUCAUGGAGCUGAAGUCAGUCGAAGAUACCAGCUGGCUGCAACUGUUUAUUAAAAACACAGCACUGUGCAAACACGAAAGUGGACGUAUACGGUGUGACGCCUGCCCGGUGCCGGAAGGUUAAUUGAUGGGGUCAGCGCAAGCGAAGCUCCUGAUCGAAGCCCCGGUAAACGGCGGCCGUAACUAUAACGGUCCUAAGGUAGCGAAAUUCCUUGUCGGGUAAGUUCCGACCUGCACGAAUGGCGUAAUGAUGGCCAGGCUGUCUCCACCCGAGACUCAGUGAAAUUGAACUCGCUGUGAAGAUGCAGUGUACCCGCGGCAAGACGGAAAGACCCCGUGAACCUUUACUAUAGCUUGACACUGAACAUUGAGCCUUGAUGUGUAGGAUAGGUGGGAGGCUUUGAAGUGUGGACGCCAGUCUGCAUGGAGCCGGCCUUGAAAUACCACCCUUUAAUGUUUGAUGUUCUAACGUGGACCCGUGAUCCGGGUUGCGGACAGUGUCUGGUGGGUAGUUUGACUGGGGCGGUCUCCUCCUAAAGAGUAACGGAGGAGCACGAAGGUUGGCUAAUCCUGGUCGGACAUCAGGAGGUUAGUGCAAUGGCAUAAGCCAGCUUGACUGCGAGCGUGACGGCGCGAGCAGGUGCGAAAGCAGGUCAUAGUGAUCCGGUGGUUCUGAAUGGAAGGGCCAUCGCUCAACGGAUAAAAGGUACUCCGGGGAUAACAGGCUGAUACCGCCCAAGAGUUCAUAUCGACGGCGGUGUUUGGCACCUCGAUGUCGGCUCAUCACAUCCUGGGGCUGAAGUAGGUCCCAAGGGUAUGGCUGUUCGCCAUUUAAAGUGGUACGCGAGCUGGGUUUAGAACGUCGUGAGACAGUUCGGUCCCUAUCUGCCGUGG